UCACGUACGACUGCGUCGCC
rnacentral:misc_RNA from 1 species